UACGGUCAAAUCACGCUGAAACACCGGUUCUCGUACGAUCACCGAAGUUAAGCAGCGUAGAGCCAGGUCAGUACUUAGAUGGGGGACCGCUUGGGAACACCUGGUACUGUAA
rnacentral:rRNA from 1 species